rnacentral:ncRNA from 1 species
CUUGUUGAUAAGAGGAGUAAAAUAAUAUAAUUUUCUUAGAGAGUUAGUGUUUGGUGAAAACUAACAAAUUAUUUAUUUGAAGGUUGCUUAUCUUAUAAAAGUAAAAUCGCAUAUCUGCGUUAAAGAUUAAGUGCAUAGAAAUAUCUAUGAAGUAAGGUGGUACCGCGAACUAAUCGUCCUUACA